CUCUCCUCAUAUGUAAUGCUCUCCUUAAACGUAAAUCAAAUUGUUUAAACCGGAUAUGAUAAUUAAAUGUUGUAUCGGCAUGGUUUUAUCUGUCUACUUUGUUUUUUCAAUUUGGUUGCCAGCUUCAACCCAAUUCUUGAUUUAGAACUAUGAUUUUGAACUAAAACAUUUCCGUGUUGAAUAAAAUACUAUUUAUUCUUAACUGUAUUUUUUUUGAGGCUUCAGUUAUCAAAUGUUGGUGGUAAUUUUAGUUAUGCCACUGUGAAAGCGUCGAUUGUUAAGAAGACAUAAAAAGUUUGAAGUAUGCACAAAGCCUGAAAGUGUCAAAUAUGGAACCUAAAAAAACCUGCCUUUGCCACUAACUGUAUAAAGGUUUUUUAAGGUCUGUUUGUCAAGCGUCAAGUCAGGUUAUCUUGCUACUGGUACCAUGUAGUACAUCCUGUUUAAGCAGGUUGUACGCCAUCCAUACGACGUUUGGGCAUCUGUUUGUAAAAUAUUGCUGCAAAUCUUUUUGAGAGAGUCAUUACUAUGGAGAACCAUCUAAACCAUACAAGUGUGGAAACAUGGAUGUAAAUCUUAAACACAUUUGUGAUAUAUAAUUGUAGAAUGUUAUAUGUUAUAAGUUUGGAAAUUAUAUUCUGCUAAAAAAACUUUUUAAAUGUAUUUUAGCAGAACAUACCUGGCCCACAUUUGAUCCUAAAAAACAUUCUUUUUGGACCAAAUGCUGGCUGGGUAAUUUGGACUUGUAAAUGAACUUAUAUUCAUAAUUUUUAAACUGCUUAUGAUCUGAUCUGAUUUUAUUUUUGUCAUUUGUUUAUUUAGAUUAAUGUGAAAUAAACUGAUGAGUUUAUUUAACUUAGCUGGUAAAAAAAAAAGUUUUUGUGAAAUAAAUUUAAUGAAGACAAUUAUAGAAUGAAGUUCAUUCAUUUGCUGGCAACAUUUUUAAACGUGGUCCAGAUCGAAAAAAUUUGGUGCUAGAAAUUGUCGAUAGUGGAAGUGAUAAAUGCAUUGAACCUAAUUUGUAAUUAAUUUCUGUAAAUAAAUUUCACUUUACUAA